rnacentral:rRNA from 1 species
AGCGGCAAAGCUCAAAUUUGGAAUCGCUUUCGGGCGAGUUGUAAUUUGAAGACUGUCUCUUGCGUGAGUGUCUUGUCGAAGUUCCUUGGAACAGGACGUCGCAGAGGGUGAGAAUCCCGUGCGAUGAGACCACGAGCGUGUGUAGAGGCAAGUCGACGAGUCGAGUUGUUUGGGAAUGCAGCUCUAAGUGGGUGGUAAAUUCCAUCUAAAGCUAAAUACAGGCGAGAGACCGAUAGCGAACAAGUACAGUGAUGGAAAGAUGAAAAGAACUUUGAAAAGAGAGUGAAAAAGUACGUGAAAUUGUUGAAAGGGAAGGGCUUGAGAUCAGACUGGGUUAAACCGGCCAGCAUCAGGUGCUGCGGCGAGACAAGACUGUGGGAAAGUGGCCUCGCUUCGGUGAGGUGUUAUAGCCCGCAGAGAUGUCGCCAGCGGCGCCUGAGGACUGCGCGAAAGCAAGGAUGCUGGCAUAAUGAUCUCCAGCCGC